AACGAACGCUGGCGGCAGGCUUAACACAUGCAAGUCGAACGCCCGUAGCAAUACGGGAGUGGCGGACGGGUGAGUAACGCGUGGGAACGUGCCCUGAGGUACGGAAUAACUGCGGGAAACUGCAGCUAAUACCGUAUGAGCCCCGCAAGGGGGAAAGAUUUAUCGCCUUAGGAGCGGCCCGCGUCGGAUUAGCUAGUUGGUGGGGUAACGGCUUACCAAGGCUUCGAUCCGUAGCUGGUCUGAGAGGACGAUCAGCCACACUGGGACUGAGACACGGCCCAGACUCCUACGGGAGGCAGCAGUGGGGAAUCUUGCGCAAUGGGGGCAACCCUGACGCAGCCAUGCCGCGUGAAUGAUGAAGGCCUUAGGGUUGUAAAGUUCUUUUGCCCGUGACGAUGAUGACGGUAACGGGAGAAUAAGCUCCGGCUAACUUCGUGCCAGCCGCCGCCGUAACAC
rnacentral:rRNA from 1 species